UACAGAGAGGGCAAGCGUUGUUCGGAAUUACUGGGCGUAAAGGGCGCGUAGGCGGCCGCCUAAGUCAGACGUGAAAUCCCUCGGCUCAACCGGGGAACUGCGUCUGAUACUGGGUGGCUUGAAUCCGGGAGAGGGAUGCGGAAUUCCAGGUGUAGCGGUGAAGUGCGUAGAUAUCUGGAGGAACACCGGUGGCGAAGGCGGCGUUCUGGGCCAAUACUGACGCUCAUGCACGAAAGCGUGGGGAGCAAACAGG
rnacentral:rRNA from 1 species